rnacentral:rRNA from 1 species
GACGAACGCUGGCGGCGUGCCUAAUACAUGCAAGUAGGACGCAGUUGCGAACGGGGGAGUAACGCGUAGGUAACUACCUAUUAGAGGGGGAUAACUAUUGGAAACGAUAGCCAAUACCGCAUACUAGUAGAUGGACCUGCGUUGUAUUAGCUAGUAGGUAGGGUAAUGGCCUACCUAGGCAACGAUACCUAGACGACCUGGAGAGGUGAUCUGCCAAACUGGGACCGGGACAACGGCCCAACUCCUACGGGAGGCAGGAGUAGGGGAACUUCGGAAAUGGGGGGAACCCUGACCGAGCAACGCCGCGUGAGUGAAGAAGGUUUUCGGAUCGUAAAGCUCUGUUGUUAAGGAAGCGGUACUUAACCAGAAAGGGACGGCUAACUACGUGCCAGCAGCCGCGGUAAUUC